GAUCCUGGCUCGGAUUGAACGCUGGCGGCAUGCUUUACACAUGCAAGUCGAACGGCAGCACAGGGAGCUUGCUCCCGGGUGGCGAGUGGCGCACGGGUGAGUAAUACAUCGGAACGUGUCCUGUUGUGGGGGAUAACGUGCUCGAAAGGGUGGCUAAUACCGCAUGAGACCUGAGGGUGAAAGCGGGGGAUCGCAAGACCUCGCGCAAUUGGAGCGGCCGAUGCCCGAUUAG
rnacentral:rRNA from 1 species